rnacentral:lncRNA from 1 species
AACCGAGACCUAAUGGUGCUGUGACAGCAACGUGAUUGAGUUUGAGACAGUGAAAAUACAUAUGGUAUGUUGUAUCUGAACAGGUUAGCUUACGAACUAAAGUUACUUAGCACAGAUGAAAGUUAAAACAAAGACGUUUAGCAAACUGUUAAAGCACACAAACCAUCGUCAUAUGAGAGAUCCGACGCUAUGACUCUCCACAAGUUGUCCUUCAGGUCAUUAUCUUUGUAAUGUUUGUGUCUUUUUAAAAAAGCACUCUGUUCUCCGACACAUAAACAAUUAGCCGGUCGGCCAUGUUGGAUAUACCAGUGAAUCAGACGUCGCAACAGCACGCAAUCUGAUUGGUCAGAAGUGGACACACAGUAUGCAAAACUUUAGAGAAAAAUCGAUCAUGAUCCGAAAAAAUAAAUGCUGCGAUAUCGCAGGACGGGAAAAUGUUGCUAAUGUGAACACUUGUAUUGACAGGAUACGGGUCCUUUUUGCUCUUUGGUACCAAGGGGAUGUUUAAAACCUUUGUCAAAGGUUUAUAGUCUGUUAGCCGGCAGGGCAUGGAAAAACUUUGGAUACUAUGCUCAUCACUCUUGAGGUAAUAGUAGCUGUGGAUGAAUCCAAACCCGAGGCUGGAAAUGCCUCCAGGGUCACACCAUUUUGCUACUUCAGGUGAAUUAUAAAGUGAGUUGUACUGCCUGUGUAAUUAAAAACAGCAUGGCACAUUUUGCAAAUUGCAUCUGGCUUGUCAAGGUUGCGUGUCUCCCUUGUAAAACCUGUAGUGUCCUCAAACUUAAUUUGAUGUGGUGGGUACACUCACUCAGCAUACAUCUGCAAUGCACAUAUAAAUAAAAGUGUGCAUCUGUGGCACACACUGACAUAAUGUGGGUUUGACAUAAGAGGAUAGAUAAGAAAAUAAUACUAAAAACAUCCUAUGCGAAGAACAUUUCCAAAUAAUGGCAAAGAGCAUCUCAUUUUUAAUGAAUCUGACAUUUAAUAACCCAAGCAUUCAUGCACAGCUACCGUAACCAUGCACCUGCGUCAUACCAGCAUGUGUCUGAGUAUUGAUAUGAAUCAUUUAAUCUUCCCAUCCCAAGCAUCAAGGCUGACCAAUAUGCCAACUUGGCUCAUUCGCUGAUACUACAAUCAUAUUUUAUCCAAUCUAUAGUAAACACACAAACACACAAGCUUUACAUACUCACAUGCUUACACACAGACCUGCACCACUGUGUAUGCUCAAUUGGUUCACUAUGAUCCCCUGUCACCCCGUACUUUCAACGCUGGCUCAGAGGCGGGUUGACUUGGCAAUAAAAGCAGAGUUGUGUGUUUAUGCAACUUCAGUGGAGUUAAAAAUGAUGACAUUGUCCAACUGAUGAUCAAGAUGCAAACGGCAACGCUAGCCUUGAGAAUUGAGUUCUGCUGACUGCAAACAGACCUGACAUCCAAAGAAUGAGACAAAGAAAGGGUAAUUUGUCCUCCUGAAAUCUCAUUCGUCUUCUUUUACAAAGACACGGGUUGGCACUCCAUUGGUACCUUUAAUGGAAGACCUGUUUUGGUUUGGUAUAGUCUUAAACCCUCUGCUGUAAAACAUACUCCCAUAGAUUUAUGAGAGUUUAUAAACAACUCCAUUUCUCAUCCAUCAUGAAUAAAAAAAUACAAUUUCAGCAUCUUACGAACAUUAUGCACCACAAUUUGUGUUGCUUUAACUUUGUUGAAGUUUUUGUCAAAGCAGAUUAUGGAGAGGAAAAUAGUUAAAAAAAAAUGAGGCCUGGACUAACUUGAAAUCUGUGGCAUGGUAGUUGUUAGUGUACCCACAGCUGCAAACCUCUGUGAUGGAUGACGGUGGCGUGGCAUUUUGCUAAAAAAACAAAUUGCUGCAGAGAGCUGCACAGUGUGCAUAAACCCUGCAGAUGAGGGAUAGCUUUGAUUAUAGUAAACAUGUGGCUGCAUACACACACACACACACACACACACACACACACACCUACUCGUACACACAGAUAUUCCUUUGAGAAUCACUCCAGUUGGGAUGCUGGAGGCCUUACCGACAGGCAUGUGAACUCAUGUAAGGGAGGCUGAAUCUAUAGCCUGAAGCACUUUUCAUUAUUCCAGCACACUGAUCAUUCUGAUGCUACCCGCACCUCCUCAGCUAAUACAGCAGGAAAUUUAUAUUUACCAGCCUGAGGAGACACAUCUGCAGUAUAUAAAAUACAUAUAGCAGAUUUUUGAGGAACAGGUUUGCCGCAAUUUAACCAAAGUUACAAAAGAUUUCAGAAAAUUUAAAAAAGACAAAAUAAACAAUCAAAAAGAAUGAUAGCCAAGAUACAGUAGCCAUCUUUCAACCAAGUAAUUACUUUCGCUAAUUUUCUAAUUGCUUUCAAAGUUUUGAUUAUUUAAUUCAUAACUGACUGCGUUAAUAGCCCUUUUUUCUCGUCUUUUUCCAUCCAAGUCGAGCUGAGACAUUUUUUAAUUGCAAGGUUUUUUGCAAACUCCAGUGCAGCCCGGCCCCUUAGGAGCUGUACUUUCCUCUCCCCAAAUAUCAAUCACUUGAAUGAGAUUGUCCCAUUAAAAGAGCUUUAAUGCUCCUAAUCACUGAGGCGGGAGGAAAACAGUGAAUCAAUUAAACAGAUUUGUGUAAGAGGAGACACUGAUAUGACUUCACAUGUCAUAUGUGGGGACUUUAAAUGUGGCUGACAGGCUUUUUUAUCCUUAAGGUGUGCAGGUUGGUUGGAUAUCCCACUUUAAGUGCUAAUUACUUAACAAUUUAAAGCUGGAGGCUGCACAGAAAGUAUGUUGAUGGUGCUGUCAUGUUAUCAUCUAUUUUUAGCAAGCCUUUAAGUGCAAAUAUUAUUAUUUCUACGGUCCUUGUGCGCACAGUCUUUUUGUAGUGCCCUCUACUCCCCUUUUUACCCACUAUUGGAAGAUGGAUGUUGAACAUGACUGGUUCUGCUGAAGGUUUCUGCCUGAUGAAAGAAAAUUUUCCGAGUCAAUGUCACCAAAUGUUGCCUAUUGCAUGCCUAAAGUUGCCUAAUUGGCCCCCGUCAAUGAUAUACAGUAUCUUGCUGUACAGUCAGGACCUGCACCUUUAAUGUAAUUUGGCACUGUAUAUAUACAGUUUGAUUGAUUGAGAAAUCAGAUAGAAAAUGGAGAAAGCCCUAUUGCUCUCUUUAUGUGCCAGAAUUCAUCACUUUUAGCCCUUUACUGACUCUUAAAGAUUCACUCUGAUGAAAAUCAUGUUUUUCUUGUUUUUACGUGUUCAUAUGGCAUUUUUCUGAUGCUACAGGACAUGCCAUGAGAAAACUAAAUGUGAAACUGCAUUUUGGAGUAUAUCUGUAUUCAAAUCACUGUGAAUCUCUGGCAGACCCAAGCAGCAGGGUCAGAUACAGUGAGAUAUCCUACGAAGCAAAUCCAAGCUCCACCCUUGGAGCCCCACAAUGCAAAUGCUGUCUCUGCCCACAACUCAGAGGCGAAUUGCUAAUGAGCUACUGGUGCUCUGCAGAAGAAAAGCCCUUAAAAAUGUCACGGAUAACUUGAUUUAAAACUUCAUAAUUACAAUUUAAAGACCACUGAGAACACUUAAAGUAGUAAAAAAUGGGGCUUUAAAGUCUUUGACUUGCCUGAUUCCUUUGAGCUACCAGUGUCUGUGGUUAUACCUAUGUUCAGAUCCACUCAAACCAGUUAAGAUAAAGAACAUAAAGAUCAUCAAUAGGGCCAGUAACAGCAAGAAAAAAAAAAUACUUCAGGGUGCUUUGUAACAUGCACCUAUAACUGGGACAAUCACUGUCACUGCAUCCUCUCUUUUCUUUUCUGUCUACUUUGGGAAACUGCUCUACCCAUUGAGCACUAACUGAGAUCAAAAAUAGAGUUAAAGCUGACAUAAGUGUACUUACACAGUGUACACAGUUAUGACAUAAGCAUGUCGAAAAAAAGUCUUUCCUAAAUUUGACAAAUGGUUUAUGUAAGUGGUAAAAGAUGGACAGAAAUGAUUAUGGUGAUGGCAUUUCUCCAAAGUAAUUUUCCAUUACUGGCUGAGAUGUAGUCUGUGCAAAGUUGGAAAUGCCAAUGCAAUUACUUUUUUUGAAAUACAAAAUUACACUGCAUUGGCUGCAUCAGGGACAUUGUAAAAACAGCCAUUUUACACAUCCAGCUAUGAAGAAGAAAAAAAGAAUGUAUGCUCAGGGACCUUAGCUGUGCAGUUUAAACUACGAUGGCAGAAAAACUCCUUGAUUCAGGUGUAGUUGGCUGAUAUUUAAUGCAAAAAGGGACUGAAGGAAACCUUCAAGAGCAGCUGACGGUGAUGACACUGGACUAAGGCAUUGACUUCUUGAAACUGAACACAACCUGCGUUUUCCUUUUGUUGGUCACAGCAAUGCACUGUUCACGUAUGAAACGUUAUUUAUGAAAUUCAAAAACUGCUGUUCAUUGAUGUGUGUUUAUUUUUUUGACCACUUAGUAGCUGUUGAAAGAAAAAAUCUUUUUGAAUCAGUUUGGAGCAACAUUGCACAGACGCCCAUAUUUCUGUUUUCAAAAAUCUUAUCAAAGGGAAACUAUUCUAGAUGUGGACGUGCUGACUUGAUUAAAUGGCUAAUUUAGGCUUAUCACUCAGCAGCUGCUUGCAACAAAAAAAAAAAAAAGAGAAAAAAAAAAGGCAAUUUUUUUAUAUAACAUUUCAGUCCGUUGAAAGCUUUUCUGUUCAAAAUACCACACUUUGAAUAAAAACCCUUCCGUUGUUGCUAGUUUAAUUUAUGCAUUUUAAAUCAGAUACAACUUCCAUCUGACAUUUAGAAAAAAAUAGUGUUUCAGGAACCAAAAAUAUAAUUUAUGCAUAUAUAAACUUUCAAUACCAGUAGUACUCCAGAAAUGGGUGUAGAAGAAUUCAGCAUGCCUCGAGUAUAAAUCAUACUUGGUUUGUAAAGUGUAAUGACGAGAAUAAGUUUUCAGUCUGUGCUUUCUCAACUGAAAAAAAAAAAGUUAUAUUUAAUAUGUUCAAUCAUAAGUAAUAUCUCCAAAGAUAUAUGUGGGCUACAUAUGACAUCUGAUAUUGUGUCACAGAAAUGUUGCAGUGACUGGUUUCUCUUGGUGUAACAGAAAUCCACACAAGAUUUUGUAUGUAUCCUCCAUCUCUACCUCCACUCCUGUCAGUGUUUCUGUCACCUGCCAACACUGUACAAAAAUAUUUUGGAAAGGCACACCUCAGUGCAGGAUGAGAUCCCUGCUGCUUAAACAUGGCAUGGCUGUCAGUCUAGACCAACAACUUUACCUGGCUGCGGUCUAGUUUUCUGCUCGGCCAUGGGUGGAAGGGGGAAGGACAGGCAAACAGGAGGAGAGGAGGCAGCUGCUGCAUAUUUCAUAAAGGUGUUGUGGACAUUGCAGCUAGCCUGCUGAGAGAGUGGGGGGCAGCGCUCAUGCUUGUUAUCUAUUCUGGUUUUCUAUUCUUACAUGCAUGAAUCGUAUCAGUUAAUCAAAUACCUCACAGUCUAAGUCAUGCUGACUUUCAUUACAGAGGCAUUGCCUCAGAUUUUCUGUGGUGUUUAAUGCAAACAUGUGAGGAAUAUUUAUGGAGAAAAGAUGGUCAUGAAAAGUAGAUUGUUACUGUGCUGCCAACUAUAGGCAUGAGGAACGUCGCCUCCACUACAGCAGGUGGAAACAUGCCCCCUUUUCAGCUUGUUACUAUUGGGUCUUUCCUGGUUGAUGCACCAAAACAGUUGGUAAAACAUGUCAGCAAGAGGCUAAUGGGAUGAAAUGAUGGAAACGCUAGGAAAAUGUUGUGUUUUUUCACGUCCUGUCUUUGUCAUCGAGGUUUUGUCAACCACCGGACUUCUUUGUAACCUCUCUGCUGUAAGAAAACUGGUGCAUGCACUGUAUGCUUAGACUGGUUUAAGCCAUUGAUUGAACAUUCCACAUAAAAGAGAAAAUUGAUCCCCAUCAUCCACAUUACCCAGGUACACCGAUCCAACUAUGAGAACCUUGCCUUAUAUUCAGACAAGGCAAGCGCUAAAAUACAUUUCAUAGAUGUAGCCAUCAUGUUUCCGCCUCCAAUUUUGCUUUUUUCCAGCUUGGUAACUGAAACGUUAACUCGGGUGCAACGUCACUUUCAGCUGGGACUUCUGACUUCCGAGGUAACUCAAACGCAGCAUAACAUGUUUACCAAAAGUCCAGAUUUAGUCAGACUAAAGGUCCUUACACACCGAGACAGACGCAAAUAUAUGAUGCAAAAUUACCAAAUAUUUUGGGGCGAUUUUUGAUGUGUCUGACUGUACACAUCAAGCCCAAUGCGAUUUUGCAACUUUCUGGGGGAGAAAGCACAUUAAACUAUAUAUGUAAACGUAAGGUAACAACUGAGACCUAAUGGUGCUGUGACAGCAACACGAUUGAGUUUGAGACAGUGAAAAUACAUAUGGUAUGUUGUAUCUGAACAGGUUAGCUUAUGUGCUAAAGUUACUUAGCACAGAUGAAAGUUAAAACAAAGACGUUUAGCAAACUGUUAAAGCAGACAAACCAUUGUCAUAUGAGAAAUCCAACACUAUGGGCUCUAUUUUUGUGCGCGCCGAUGAGGCGGCGGAGGGCGGCGAGCCCCGCGCAGUUGUAUUUUCGUCUGGCGGAGCCCAGCGUAAGGCCAGUUUGGUAUUUUCGUGGACUGAGCCGCACGGAGGCGAGCCGAGAUCCGCCAAGCUGGGCGUGGUGGCGUGGCAGGGGGAGGUGUCGACAGAAUCAGCUGGCGCAGUGACAUUUUCGUGCUUGCCACCAGCGUGUAAAGUGCGCUGAAAGCUCGCCGAUUCAAACCUGGUCAGCUUUCAGCGCAAGGCGGAACGCAGCUGGUCUAGUGGUAUUUUGGUAGACCGGCGGCGUAUCGACAUACGUCACUGAUGCCUCACCAGCAGGUUUCCACAGUGUCAGGCACAUUACAGUGCAAUAAAUAAUCAACAACAACUAAUAAUCUGAGUUAGCACAUACAUUUAGAUCUAUAUAGAUAUAUUCUGAUCUAUAUCUGAUCUGAUGAGCGCGUUUGGCACGCGUUUGGACACACAACCUGAGCGAUCAACACAGCUGAAACCACAUCAAAUUAAAUUAAAUAUCUAGUAAAUAUACACACAUGAUGAAGUUAACAAGAUAUGUAAUUCAUCUCCCUCCUUUUCUUUCUUCCUCUUCCUCUUAUUUCUCGCACAGCUCGACCUGGACAUGUCUCCGUGUCCUCUGUCCGUCUUGCUGCUGCUGCGGCUGAACAGAUGAUUUGUUUCACUGCUCAGAUGCGUUAUCUACUUUAAGCCAACAUACGGAUAUUAUAAUAUUCAGUUUUGUGGGCCAAAUUUAUUUUAUAUGCCAACAUCUAUGAAAGAAAGAGCCAGGCCACGGAGCGCGAUGCGUCAUUUACGCACAGAUGGUUCCGAUUUUAAUGCCAUUUUUGGAGUUUAUGUUGUGAUCUGUGCGCUCAACCGACCUUUGUCACGUGAGGUUUGAAUAUAUGCAACUUUAUGUGAGUGUCUUUAUUUGUGGAAAAGGGUGUUUGUCUUACCACUGGGUCCAACAUUACACACACCAAAUCCAUCUGUGCUUAUAUGAGAGGGUGUGGAGGACACUUGUUGAGGAGCUGCCCUCUGUCGCCAUCUUAUGGCAUUACUGUCUUAAGACAUCUCUUGAUCUCUUUGACUACUUCAUGAAAAUAGUAAUACGCCUCGCCUGUGGCGGAUUUAAAGGCAAGGAGAGGAGCUUAUGUGAUUGGUGAAAACAGGUCUCGGCUUUGUUAAACCCUCUACACGCCCUUUCUUCUCCCCGUCUACGACUUAUGCUGCUGGGAGGAGCUGAGUUAGGGAGGGGGGAUACUUACGCCGGGCUGCGCAGCUCACCAAAAUACCAAAAUGUGCUUGGGAACGCCUUGUCAGCGCGGCGGAUCUGACUGACGCUGCGCUUGCGGCACAUCUCUGGCGAGGCACCAAAAUAGAGCCCUCUCCACAAAUUGUCCUUCAGGUCGUUAUCUUUGUAAUGUUUGUGUUUUUUAUCAAAAAGCACUCUGUUCUCUGACAUGUAAACAA